GUAGGUGGCAAGCGUUGUCCGGAAUUAUUGGGCGUAAAGCGCGCGCAGGCGGUUCUUUAAGCCUGAUGUGAAAGCCCACGGCUCAACCGUGGAGGGUCAUUGGAAACUGGAGAACUUGAGUACAGAAGGGGAAAGCGGAAUUCCACGUGUAGCGGUGAAAUGCGUAGAGAUGUGGAGGAACACCAGUGGCGAAGGCGGCUUUCUGGUCUGUAACUGACACUGAGGCGCGAAAGCGUGGGGAGCAAACAGGGAUUAGAUACCCUGGUAGUCCACGCCGUAAACGAUGAGUGCUAAGUGUUAGGGGGUUUCCGCCCCCUUAGUGCUGCAGCUAACGCAUUAAGCACUCCGCCUGGGGAUACGGCCGCAAGGCUG
rnacentral:rRNA from 1 species